rnacentral:lncRNA from 1 species
AUGAUCACACUUUCAUUACUUUGUGUGACAGUGUUUAGUUACCCGCAAAAUUCACCCAAAAAUUUCAAUUCCCUGCUAAUCUCUCCAUCUUUCACUCAGCCUACUCAUACCCAUUACUCACUGAGACACGCGUCACUAAUCCUCCCUCAUAUGAAAACCCUAACCCAUCUUCCUCACACAAGCCUGGAUAGGGAGAGACAGAUCUGGAGAAAGAGAAUCGGGAGAGAGAGUGAUCCGCCCACACUCCGUCCGCCGGUAUCGAUGACGACUACGAUGGUAGGGGUAAACAACAAUGAAGACCAUCGUCCAUUGAGACGAUAGUGGUUCCGGCGAAUGGUACGGUGGUUGUUCGUGGUGCAUCGGACCCGAUCUCCGGCGACAUUAGAUAAUCUCUGACAGAAGUACUUGGUAAUGAGGAGACUUGUAUUCUUAGAGUUAAUCUACACUGUGAUGGUUGCAAACACAAAGUGAAGAAACUUCUUCAAAGAAUUGAUGCUGAAGUUAUGAAGUCCUUGAACAUUCCCAAGGGAGUAAGACGUAAGAGCAUUAAACACUCAUAGGUAUUGAUUACUUGUCAGUUGCUGCUGCAUAUGGUUUCUGACACACGUAAAAGAACAUGCAUGCAGAAUCCAUAUAUAAAAACUAAAUAAAUAACGGGUGUACGUAGCUUAUUCGCAAGCUGGUCUGCAGCCAAUUCGCAGCCGGUCUGCAGCUUAUUCGCAGCCUGUUCGGAGCCGGUACGCAGGCUUGUUCGCAGCCGGUAUGCAGGCCUGUUCGCAGCCGGUUACGCAGGCCGGUGCGUAGCUUAUUCGCAGACUGCUCGCAGCCUGUUCGUAGCCGGUACGCAGGCAUGUCUGCAGCCGCUCAGCAGGCCUGUUUGCGGCUGGUCUGAGUUGUCAAACAUGCGAUGUUUAUACAUGGACAUGGAGCUCGCGACAACAAUAAGGGUUUCAAGGUUGAUAAACGGGCGACGACACUUCUACCAACUACGACAGUCUCAACUGAAGCUCGCGACAACAAUAAGGACGUCGAACCCACAACGGUCUGUUGAAGGAAGCUCCGACAGCUACGGUUCAGAACUAAACACAAGUUCAACCGUUAAGCUUGCUGCAAUCUCUGAGCUAACAAGUUUACAGAAGCAUUUGGAAAGUUCUAUGGAAGCUCAAAACAGGGAACCAGCAAUGAUAAACGUCGUGCUGGUGUUCAUGAAAACUAUAUCAAUUGCAUUGUGCCACUGAAGAAAUCGGAGGGUACCAAAUUGACCAGCUCGGAGGGUAGUACCAAAUUGACCAGCUUUAGCAUGUGUUAUUCAGCUUAACUCUAUGGUCUGCUAUGUAUCUUGAGAUUAUUUGGAACUAUGUUAAUUCUAUUGUGUUUGCGGAUUGUUUGAUUUGUACAUGUAUUACCCAAUAAAACUUAAUUCGCUAUAUUUGUCCCUUACAAAUAUUAAUUCAUUACAUUUUGCCGU